CCUACGUGUGGCUGCAGUGAGGACUAUUGGUCACUGGACGAGAGUCUGCACCAGCCAAGUAGCGUGAAGGAUGACUGCCCUAUGGGUUGUCAACUUCUUUUAUAUGGGAAUAAAAUGUUCCACGUGUGGGAUUUUGUAUGUACCAUAUGAAUAAGGAUCGGCUCACUCCGUGCCAGCAGCCGCGGUAAUCAGGAGGAUCCGAGCGUUAUCCGGAUUUAUUGUGUUUAAAGGGAGCGUAGGUGGAUUGUUAAGUCAGUUGUGAAAGUUUGCUGCUCAACCGUAAAAUUGCAGUUGAAACUGGCAGUCUUGAGUACAGUAGAGGUGAGCGGAAUUCGUGGUGUAGCGGGGAGAUGCUUAGAUAUCACGAAGAACUCCGAUUGCGAAGGCAGCUCACUGGACUGCAACUGACACUGAGGCUCGAAAGUGUGGGUAUCAAACAGGAUUAGAUACCCUAGUAGUC
rnacentral:rRNA from 1 species